rnacentral:sRNA from 1 species
CAACAAGCGAAAGGAGGUGGUCGAAUGUCUCAUUGUCACGCGCCGCAUGCGGCAGAUUUGAGCAUGACCUUCCUCGCGGGGGUCCGACUCGGAUAAUCGUCCGCGAACAGGCACGACAAUGGAAGGGCUGCUCCGAAAGGGGCAGCCCU